rnacentral:rRNA from 1 species
UAUCUCUGUAGAGUCUGCAUAUCAAUAAGCGGAGGAAAAGAAACUAACAAGGAUUCCCUUAGUAACGGCGAGUGAAGCGGGAAGAGCUCAAAUUUGAAAUCUUCAAGGUUUUACCUUGACGAAUUGUAGUUUAAAGAAGUGUUUUCUGUUGAAGUUUCGGUAAAAGUUCUUUGGAAUAGGACAUCAUAGAGGGUGAGAAUCCCGUAUUUGACCGUUAUUUUCAGCUGUGUGAUACACUUUCAAAGAGUCGGAUUGUUUGGGAAUGCAGUCCAAAAUGGGUGGUAAAUUUCAUCUAAAGCUAAAUAUUGGCGAGAGACCGAUAGCGAACAAGUACCGUGAGGGAAAGAUGAAAAGAACUUUGAAAAGAGAGUUAAACAGUACGUGAAAUUGUCAAAAGGGAAGCGUUUGACACCAGUGUUGUUUUCUCGAAAAUCAAUUAAAAAUGGCUUGAUUUUGUGUUGUAUUGACCUUAAAAGCUUUCUUCACUUUUUUCAUGUCUUUUUUAAUGCACUUUUCGUUUAACAAGUCAACAUCAGUUUCUUUUGUUGUAAAAAGGUCAUUGGAAGGUGGCUUUCUUUUCGGAGAAAGUGUUUAUAGCCUUUGACUCCUGCAAUCGGAGAGACUGAGGUCUGCAGCGUAGAUCCUUCUGGAUUAGAUUCAUUUGUGCUAAGUUACAACCGUUUAUAGACAACUUGUUGACUAUAUUCGACCCUGUAGCUUACUCGCUUAUGUAAUUUUACCUACGCUUAGGAUGUUGACUGAUAUGUAGUCGUA